rnacentral:rRNA from 1 species
CCUACGGGAGGCAGCAGUAGGGAAUAUUGCUCAAUGGGGGAAACCCUGAAGCAGCAACGCCGCGUGGAGGAUGACGGUUUUAGGAUUGUUAACUCCUUUUGUUAGAGAAGAUUAUGUCGGUAUCUAAAGUAUAAGCACCGGACAACUCCGUGCAAGCAGCCGCGGUAAUAUGGAGGGGGCAAGCGUUAUUCGGAAUGACUGGGCGUAAGGGGUGCGUAGGCGGGGUAAUAAGUCAGAUGUGAAAUGCUGUAGCUUAACUACGGAACUGCCUUUGAAACUGUUGCUCUGGAGUGUGGGCGUGGUAGGUGGAAUGUAUGGUGUAGGGGUGAAAUGCGUAGAGAUCAAGAGGAAUACUCAUUGCGAAGGCGGCCUGCUGGAACAUUACUGACGCUGAGGCACGAAAGCGUGGGGAGCAAACAGGAUUAGAUACCCUGGUAGUC